UAAGACGGAGGGUGCAAGCGUUGCUCGGAAUCACUGGGCGUAAAGGGUGCGUAGGCGGUCUCUCAAGUCUGACGUGAAAGCCCAGGGCUCAGCCCUGGAAGUGCGCCAGAAACUGAGAGGCUUGAGUGCCGGAGGGGAGAGUGGAAUUCCCGGUGUAGCGGUGAAAUGCGUAGAUAUCGGGAGGAAUACCGGUGGCGAAAGCGACUCUCUGGACGGUAACUGACGCUGAGGCACGAAAGCUAGGGGAGCGAACGGGA
rnacentral:rRNA from 1 species